UUAAACUGUAUCUCUUUAUCAGAUGACAGUUUGUGAAAUUUAAGCAUUUAAAAUAUGUUAUAAUUGUGUAACAAUGAUACAGCUUUUCUUCAUUUUUCAACAUUCUGGGGGCCACAAACAAAACAAAACAAAAAAUAGAUGUGGAUUAGUCCUCUCGUCUCUGAAAGACCCUGGUAAGUGGCAGCCUCUGUGUGUUCAGAGGCUUAAGAGGAGCCUAAGAAGGUUUCAGGGCAAGUAAUUUGCUUUAAGUUAAUCUGCUCAGUGAUUGUGCCUACAGCAGCCACAAUAGCGAAGGCAGACCUAGUGUAUCUGAAAUGAAGUUUGUAAGGGCUCAUAGGGGUAUCAAAAAGGCUGAACGGUGGGCAAGUAGUGCUUUGAUAUGAUUUUUGGCUAUCACCAUGGCAGCCCCUUCAGGGCCUGCUGGAAAUGAAAGCCAAGCUGGGAGAAUGUGGGGGAGAAGUGGUCAGUUCCUGUUGCCUGGGUCUGGCUUGAGAACAGAGACAUGACUGCCCUUUAAUGGCCCUUCCGCCCAGGCUGUCGUGUUCUUGUAGUCUUGACCAGUGGUCCCCUUGUUGUUGUAAUUUCUGCUUUAAGAGGCCACUCUGCAACCUUGUUUUUUUGUUCCCUUUCAAGUUUUGCAAGCUGUACCAACCCACCAUUGCAAAAUCAUUUACACACUUUGCCUUCUAUCUGCAAAUAAAAAAAAAUGCCUGAUGGGAAAAGUAGGAUGGUAAAUGAUCUGGUCCUCUCAGUGUGACCAAAAGAGGAAUUAAUAAAACCCUAAAAGUUUGCACGUUGACAGAGCCAAUGGUGAAAUAGAUACCACCAAGCAGAGGCAGCUACAUGUUAGUUACCCCAUUAUUAACGCUCUCCCAUCAAAAAGUACAUCCUACCAACAGUACAUCACUUUUAGUGAUACCAGGAAGAAAAAUUGAUUUAAAAAAAUCAUGUCCAAGUUUUUCUAAAGGGAAGAGUGUACAAGUGUCUACUGAAAUUGCCCUUUCUUCCAAUAUGUGCUGGCCACUGCUCAAACGGACAUGUGCCUUCCCGUUGGAGUUGGCAGUGAUGAUGCCUCUGCCCCACUCUGCUAGGGGUUCCCUUGGGGCAGUGGCUGCAUCUAUUUCUUUAUAUCCACAGCGCCUAGCACAGUUCCUGGAGUUUGGUAAGCACUCGCUUCCAUGUUUGUGGAUUGGAUGAGUGACUAGAAGGAAGACAUGAAUGCAUGCUGUUUAGGGCAAAAGAAAGCAUGACCUGCUCCUCAUUUCUCCAAAGCUGUCUCCUCAUUUUUCCAAUGAGGUCAUUUAAGUCGAACAUUCAGCACAUGCUACUUGAUCAAGUUUUUUGUGGUUGUUGAACAGAUUUAGAGCUGUACUCAAUGGCGUCAGUCAGCUUUCCUGGGAGAUAAUGCAGAACAAUGAGCAUGUGUGUUUCCUUUGAAGUGUAUAACCAAUGGCUUCAUUAGUCAUGGGCGUUUGAAGCCUGACCCGGAACAGUCUUGGAAGUUAAUUUGUUUCUGCAGAACAUUUGAGAGUUUACUACAUGUCAAGUACUCUUCUAAGCAUUCUGGCCACAAAUGCUUAUUUCAUCCUUGUGUUUGUAUGAGGUAGAAUCUAAUGUUAUUCUCAGUGGUACCAGUGAGGCUAAGAUAUUUGUACCAGCUGACAGGUUUUGUAAAUGGCACAGCUGGGAUUCAAACCAACUUAUGGUGUCUCAAAACCUCAGGCUGUGCUGGAAAGAGCUAUUAUGCCACGAAAUAUACUAUGACAUUCCCAUCAAAGAUGGCAAGUGAGUGGAAUAGAGAGAGGCUUGUUAGUGUGUGGUCCUGGGGGUUCUGAGGUUCUGGGAGGGCUUUGUUCAUUGAUUGAACUUAGUAAGUAAAGUGCAAAUAAUGGUGAGCCUUCUGGGAUAGACCACAUUGGUUGAAAAAGGGGAAUUCUAGGGUGAAGCAGGCAAAGUGAAAGUUUAAGAGGACUCAUCAAAUGAAAAAAUCAGAUCCCGGGAAGAACACUAGGUAA
ensembl:lncRNA